rnacentral:rRNA from 1 species
ACAAGCAGUGGGAGCACAGGUUUACCUGUGUGACUGCGUACCUUUUGUAUAAUGGGUCAGCGACUUAUAUUCUGUAGCAAGGUUAACCGAAUAGGGGAGCCGGAGGGAAACCGAGUCUUAAUUGGGCGUUAAGUUGCAGGGUAUAGACCCGAAACCCGGUGAUCUAGCCAUGGGCAGGUUGAAGGUUGGGUAACACUAACUGGAGGACCGAACCGACUAAUGUUGAAAAAUUAGCGGAUGACCUGUGGCUGGGGGUGAAAGGCCAAUCAAACCGGGAGAUAGCUGGUUCUCCCCGAAAGCUAUUUAGGUAGCGCCUCGUGAAUUCAUCUCCGGGGGUAGAGCACUGUUUCGGCUAGGGGGCCAUCCCGGCUUACCAACCCGAUGCAAACUGCGAAUACCGGAGAAUGUUAUCACGGGAGACACACGGCGGGUGCUAACGUCCGUCGUGAAGAGGGAAACAACCCAGACCGCCAGCUAAGGUCCCAAAGUCAUGGUUAAGUGGGAAACGAUGUGGGAAGGCCCAGACAGCCAGGAUGUUGGCUUAGAAGCAGCCAUCAUUUAAAGAAAGCGUAAUAGCUCACUGGUCGAGUCGGCCUGCGCGGAAGAUGUAACGGGGCUAAACCAUGCACCGAAGCUGCGGCAGCGACACUCAGGUGUUGUUGGGUAGGGGAGCGUUCUGUAAGCCUGUGAAGGUGUGUCGUGAGGCAUGCUGGAGGUAUCAGAAGUGCGAAUGCUGCCAUAAGUA